CACACGACUCUCGGCAACGGAUAUCUCGGCUCUCGCAUCGAUGAAGAACGUAGCAAAAUGCGAUACCUGGUGUGAAUUGCAGAAUCCCGCGAACCAUCGAGUUUUUGAACGCAAGUUGCGCCCAAGGCCUUCUGGCUGAGGGCACGCCUGCCUGGGCGUCACGC
rnacentral:rRNA from 1 species